UGUGGACCGACCUUUUCAAUGUAAACGGUGGAACUAUCUCCUAUAGAGAGGAUACAAGUAGCGCUGUACUGGCACAAGUCACUCAAGCUGUUAACCAAUAUUUCCCUAAUGUGCCUUUUACCGCUACAUCAGCCUUUGUGGCUACCUGGGACAGUGUGCCGUACAUCACUGGUGGAGGGGUGGUUACUUUCCAAGUGGUUUUAGUCUCCAAUGGUGAACGCUCUUUCAUCCUGAUCAACUAUGGUGAUAUUGCAGAAACAGGACAAGUUUGGCUGGCUGGUUAUGACACAGUGGACUCUGUCAAUUCUUUCACAAUUCCAGCAGCCAGUGCCCCAGAACUCUCAUACAGCAGUAAUAUCAAUGUGAAUGGUCGCUGGUCUUUCCGUGUCGAUGGUUCGCUAAACUUGCCGGCUAAUUUCCUGCCGUUUGGGAACGGAGACGUGGUAAAUCCCAUUUCAGAUGAUGGAAGCUCUGAAGCCAUUUACUUGCAGCAUCCUUUCAAAUACUUUGGACGCAC